rnacentral:piRNA from 1 species
UAACCAUUGGCUGCCCUCAGAUUUCCGCA